UUAAGCGACUAAGCGUACACGGUGGAUGCCCUGGCAGUCAGAGGCGAUGAAGGACGUGCUAAUCUGCGAAAAGCGCCGGCGAGGUGAUAUGAACCCUUGACCCGGCGAUGUCCGAAUGGGGAAACCCAGUGCAAUCCGUUGCACUAUCGUUAACUGAAUACAUAGGUUAACGAGGCGAACCGGGGGAACUGAAACAUCUAAGUACCCCGAGGAAAAGAAAUCAACCGAGAUUCCCCCAGUAGCGGCGAGCGAACGGGGAGCAGCCCGGAGUCUGAAUCAGCUUGUGUGUUAGUGGAACGGUCUGGAAAGUCCGACGGUACAGGGUGAUAGUCCCGUACACGAAAGCACACAUGCUGUGAACUCGAAGAGUAGGGCGGGACACGUGGUAUCCUGUCUGAAUAUGGGGGGACCAUCCUCCAAGGCUAAAUACUCCUGACUGACCGAUAGUGAACCAGUACCGUGAGGGAAAGGCGAAAAGAACCCCGGCGAGGGGAGUGAAAAAGAACCUGAAACCGUGUACGUACAAGCAGUGGGAGCCUCUUUAUGGGGUGACUGCGUACCUUUUGUAUAAUGGGUCAGCGACUUAUAUUCUGUAGCAAGGUUAACCGUAUAGGGGAGCCGAAGGGAAACCGAGUCUUAACUGGGCGUUAAGUUGCAGGGUAUAGACCCGAAACCCGGUGAUCUAGCCAUGGGCAGGUUGAAGGUUGGGUAACACUAACUGGAGGACCGAACCGACUAAUGUUGAAAAAUUAGCGGAUGACCUGUGGCUGGGGGUGAAAGGCCAAUCAAACCGGGAGAUAGCUGGUUCUCCCCGAAAGCUAUUUAGGUAGCGCCUCGUGAACUCAUCUUCGGGGGUAGAGCACUGUUUCGGCUAGGGGGCCAUCCCGGCUUACCAACCCGAUGCAAACUACGAAUACCGAAGAAUGUUAUCACGGGAGACACACGGCGGGUGCUAACGUCCGUCGUGAAGAGGGAAACAACCCAGACCGCCAGCUAAGGUCCCAAAGUCAUGGUUAAGUGGGAAACGAUGUGGGAAGGCACAGACAGCCAGGAUGUUGGCUUAGAAGCAGCCAUCAUUUAAAGAAAGCGUAAUAGCUCACUGGUCGAGUCGGCCUGCGCGGAAGAUGUAACGGGGCUAAACCAUGCACCGAAGCUGCGGCAGCGACACUAUGUGUUGUUGGGUAGGGGAGCGUUCUGUAAGCCGUUGAAGGUGUGCUGUGAGGCAUGCUGGAGGUAUCAGAAGUGCGAAUGCUGACAUAAGUAACGAUAAAGCGGGUGAAAAGCCCGCUCGCCGGAAGACCAAGGGUUCCUGUCCAACGUUAAUCGGGGCAGGGUGAGUCGACCCCUAAGGCGAGGCCGAAAGGCGUAGUCGAUGGGAAACAGGUUAAUAUUCCUGUACUUGGUGUUACUGCGAAGGGGGGACGGAGAAGGCUAUGUCAGCCGGGCGACGGUUGUCCCGGUUUAAGCAUGUAGGCGGAGGUUCCAGGUAAAUCCGGUACCUUAUUAACGCUGAGGUGUGAUGACGAGGCACUACGGUGCUGAAGUGAUAAAUGCCCUGCUUCCAGGAAAAGCCUCUAAGCAUCAGGUAACACGAAAUCGUACCCCAAACCGACACAGGUGGUCAGGUAGAGAAUACCAAGGCGCUUGAGAGAACUCGGGUGAAGGAACUAGGCAAAAUGGUGCCGUAACUUCGGGAGAAGGCACGCUGAUGUGUAGGUGAAGCCCCUGCGGGUGGAGCUGAAAUCAGUCGAAGAUACCAGCUGGCUGCAACUGUUUAUUAAAAACACAGCACUGUGCAAACACGAAAGUGGACGUAUACGGUGUGACGCCUGCCCGGUGCCGGAAGGUUAAUUGAUGGGGUUAGCGGCAACGCGAAGCUCUUGAUCGAAGCCCCGGUAAACGGCGGCCGUAACUAUAACGGUCCUAAGGUAGCGAAAUUCCUUGUCGGGUAAGUUCCGACCUGCACGAAUGGCGUAAUGAUGGCCAGGCUGUCUCCACCCGAGACUCAGUGAAAUUGAACUCGCUGUGAAGAUGCAGUGUACCCGCGGCAAGACGGAAAGACCCCGUGAACCUUUACUAUAGCUUGACACUGAACACUGGUCCUUGAUGUGUAGGAUAGGUGGGAGGCUUUGAAGCGUGGACGCCAGUCUGCGUGGAGCCAACCUUGAAAUACCACCCUUUAAUGGCUGGUGUUCUAACGUGGACCCGUAAUCCGGGUUGCGGACAGUGUCUGGUGGGUAGUUUGACUGGGGCGGUCUCCUCCCAAAGAGUAACGGAGGAGCACGAAGGUUGGCUAAUCCUGGUCGGACAUCAGGAGGUUAGUGCAAUGGCAUAAGCCAGCUUGACUGCGAGCGUGACGGCGCGAGCAGGUGCGAAAGCAGGUCAUAGUGAUCCGGUGGUUCUGAAUGGAAGGGCCAUCGCUCAACGGAUAAAAGGUACUCCGGGGAUAACAGGCUGAUACCGCCCAAGAGUUCAUAUCGACGGCGGUGUUUGGCACCUCGAUGUCGGCUCAUCACAUCCUGGGGCUGAAGUAGGUCCCAAGGGUAUGGCUGUUCGCCAUUUAAAGUGGUACGCGAGCUGGGUUUAGAACGUCGUGAGACAGUUCGGUCCCUAUCUGCCGUGGGCGCUGGAGAAUUGAGGGGGGCUGCUCCUAGUACGAGAGGACCGGAGUGGACGCAUCACUGGUGUUCGGGUUGUCAUGCCAAUGGCACUGCCCGGUAGCUAAAUGCGGAAGAGAUAAGUGCUGAAAGCAUCUAAGCACGAAACUUGCCCCGAGAUGAGUUCUCCCUGAGACUUUAAGUCUCCUGAAGGAACGUUGAAGACGACGACGUUGAUAGGUCGGGUGUGUAAGCGCAGCGAUGCGUUGAGCUAACCGAUACUAAUGAACCGUGAGGCUUAACCUU
rnacentral:rRNA from 1 species